rnacentral:rRNA from 1 species
CCUACGGGAGGCAGCAGUGAGGAAUAUUGGUCAAUGGCCGUAAGGCUGAACCAGCCAAGUCGCGUGAAGGAAGAAGGAUCUAUGAUUUGUAAAUUUCUUUUAUAGGGGAAUAAAGGUAUCCACGUGUGGAUAUUUGCAUGUACCCUAUGAAUAAGCAUCGGCUAACUCCGUUCCAGCAGCCGCGGUAAUGCGGAGGAUGCGAGCGGUAUCCGGGUUUGAUGGGUUGAAAGGGUGCGUAGGUUGUUUUUUAAGUCAGAGGUGAAAGUUUAUGGCUCAACCAUAAAAUUGCCGUGGAUACUGGCAGACUUGAGUGUGUUUGAGGUAGGCGGAAUGCGUGGUGGAGCGGUGAAAUGCAUAGAUAUCACGCAGAACACCGAUGGCGAAGGCAGCUUACUAGGCCAUAACUGACACUGAAGCACGAAAGCGUGGGGAUCAAACAGGAUUAGAUACCCUAGUAGUC